UGGCAGAGGAGGGCAGCUGAGAGAGGCUGCGAGGAUCAUAGACACUCUCCCUCGUCCUCUGCCGGCAGGAACAAUGUGGACGGAAGCAGCGAAACUCUGGGACGCAUGACAAGCGUCUUCAUCGGCACAUUAAUUGCUCAAAUUGAAGCGGCGCCACAUCUCUCUGAACUAGACGGAGUCGGUUACAGGAGCAUCAAAACACAAGGCGGGGUACACCCUGGACAGGGUGCCAGUCCAUCGCAGGGCACAAUCACAUACACACUCACCAUUCAUACACUACAGACACACCAAUCAGCCUACCAUGCAUAUCUUUGGACCGGAGUACCCGGAGGAAACCCCUGCAGCAUGGGGAGAACAGGCAAACUCCGCAGACACGGCCCCGGCAGGAAUCGAACCCCGGCCCCUGGAG
ensembl:lncRNA